GCCAGCAUGGCAUAAUGGCUUAAGGGUUGGACUAUGACUCCGGAGACCAGUGUUCGAAUCCCUGCUCAGCCA